rnacentral:rRNA from 1 species
UACGAAGGGGGCUAGCGUUGUUCGGAAUUACUGGGCGUAAAGCGCGCGCAGGCGGUCUUUCAAGUCAGUGGUGAAAGCCCGGAGCUCAACUCCGGAAAUGCCAUUGAAACUGUGAGACUUGAGGACGAGAGAGGUGAGUGGAAUUCCCAGUGUAGAGGUGAAAUUCGUAGAUAUUGGGAAGAACACCGGUGGCGAAGGCGGCUCACUGGCUCAUUACUGACGCUCAGGCGCGAUAGCGUGGGGAUCAAACAGG